ACCAUGAAUCACCAACAGCUUUCCUGUCAGCCGUUGCAGCUUUGGUCAAUAUCGCCCAGGUCUGAGCAUGCCAGCAGGUGUAUUAAACUCACCGUUAAAUCGGCUAUGACUUUUACUUGACUCAACCAAUCUAAUCUACAAUUGACCGUAUGUUGCCUCUGCUACCAAGAGAAAUUCGAAGGAAUCAAGGCUACUUCUGAGAUGCUCCCAACACAGCAACAAACCGGAAAAAGGAUAUUAGGCAAUAGCUAGUGUACUGUUGAAGUUCCUUCUCAUGUGUUGGUGCUUUAAAUUUUUGUAAUAGUUACAGGUUAUUAAAAUAGGUCUUUCUCUGCUGAAGCCUUGUCUCUUUUAUUUUUUUGUAAACAAUUUGUCCAUUAGAAUUUAGUAUUGUAACAAGAGACAAAUAAGUAUGUAUAUACAGAAUUUAUAUAAAUUCUAAUUAAAAAGUAGAGAGUGUAAUAACAUAAGAAUAGAACAAAAAUAGAAUACUUGGCAGAGGCACAAGUUAACUCUAAUUGAAUUCAAUUUAAGCUUAUCUUCUUCAGGAGCUCUUGCUCUGAUGGAGUCACAAUAUCAGGCCUUGAUUUCUGACCUUGUU